GCCUGGGUGGCUGGGUCGGUUAAGCAUCCGACUUCAGCUCAGGUCAUGAUCUUGUAGUUCAUGAGUUCGAGUCCUGUUUCAGGCU
rnacentral:tRNA from 1 species